AGAGUUUGAUCCUGGCUCAGGAUGAACGCUGGCGGCGUGCCUAAUACAUGCAAGUCGAGCGAACGGACGAGAAGCUUGCUUCUCUGAUGUUAGCGGCGGACGGGUGAGUAACACGUGGAUAACCUACCUAUAAGACUGGGAUAACUUCGGGAAACCGGAGCUAAUACCGGAUAAUAUCUUGAACCGCAUGGUUCAAAAGUGAAAGGCGGUCUUGCUGUCACUUAUAGAUGGAUCCGCGCUGCAUUAGCUAGUUGGUAAGGUAACGGCUUACCAAGGCAACGAUGCAUAGCCGACCUGAGAGGGUGAUCGGCCACACUGGAACUGAGACACGGUCCAGACUCCUACGGGAGGCAGCAGUAGGGAAUCUUCCGCAAUGGGCGAAAGCCUGACGGAGCAACGCCGCGUGAGUGAUGAAGGUCUUCGGAUCGUAAAACUCUGUUAUUAGGGAAGAACAUAUGUGUAAGUAACUGUGCACAUCUUGACGGUACCUAAUCAGAAAGCCACGGCUAACUACGUGCCAGCAGCCGCGGUAAUACGUAGGUGGCAAGCGUUAUCCGGAAUUAUUGGGCGUAAAGCGCGCGUAGGCGGUUUUUUAAGUCUGAUGUGAAAGCCCUCGGCUCAACCGUGGAGGGUCAUUGGAAACUGGAAAACUUGAGUGCAGAAGAGGAAAGUGGAAUUCCAUGUGUAGCGGUGAAAUGCGCAGAGAUAUGGAGGAACACCAGUGGCGAAGGCGACUUUCUGGUCUGUAACUGACGCUGAUGUGCGAAAGCGUGGGGAUCAAACAGGA
rnacentral:rRNA from 1 species